AACGAACGCUGGCGGCAGGCUUAACACAUGCAAGUCGAGCGCCCCGCAAGGGGAGCGGCAGACGGGUGAGUAACGCGUGGGAAUCUACCCAUCUCUACGGAAUAACUCAGGGAAACUUGUGCUAAUACCGUAUACGCCCUUUUGGGGAAAGAUUUAUCGGAGAUGGAUGAGCCCGCGUUGGAUUAGCUAGUUGGUGGGGUAAAGGCCUACCAAGGCGACGAUCCAUAGCUGGUCUGAGAGGAUGAUCAGCCACAUUGGGACUGAGACACGGCCCAAACUCCUACGGGAGGCAGCAGUGGGGAAUAUUGGACAAUGGGCGCAAGCCUGAUCCAGCCAUGCCGCGUGAGUGAUGAAGGCCCUAGGGUUGUAAAGCUCUUUCACCGGAGAAGAUAAUGACGGUAUCCGGAGAAGAAGCCCCGGCUAACUUCGUGCCAGCAACCGCCGUAA
rnacentral:rRNA from 1 species